ensembl:lncRNA
GAACAAAAGACCCUCGUGCCGCCCUCCCGCGGCUCCGCUCCGAACGCGCCCGGCGGGGCUCCCGGGCGAGGGUCGCUGCCCACGGGGCCACGGCGGGCAGGAGGAGCGGAGGGCGCGCGGUGGCCCGAGGCCCCGUCAACGUAGAGGACAGACGCCGGGCAGGCCCGGGAGCGCGCGCCCUGCCGGGCACCGACGGCCGAGCCCGCACAGCCCCGGACCUGGGGCGCGAGCCCGCUAGGGGGCCCGCGGCUUCCGGCGGCUGCACCUGGGCCCCGCACCGUCGUGUGGCCCCGCCGCAGCCUAGGCGCGCACGCCCUCAGCGGCCGAGCGCAUGGUCGAUGGUAGAGCGCGGUCCGGGCUGCUGCGGGCCAAGUUUCCCGGCCCCACGGGGCCCGGUGCUGAUGGCACCAAGUUCUCCCAACAGAUCCCACAAAAUGGAGGACGACGUCUCCUCCCGCCGCAGCCAUGGCGGAGGACUUUCAAGCCAAUCUGGUGAAACAUUUGGCAGAAAUAAGGAAAACAUCUCCAUCGUGUUUUGCUGCUCGGGUGCAAUGUUCAAGAACACCAGAAGAGGGCAGUAAAUCCUUUAGAACUAGAGAGCAGGUUGGGAGCUGCACUGGAAGUGUGGGGACUUAAAUCCUGGUCCCUUGGAAGAGCAGCCACUGAGCCAUCUCUCCAGCCCUUGUGAUUUUUCUUCCUCUUCUCUCUACCACCACCUCCUCCUCCUCCUCCUCCUCCUCCUCCUCCUCUUUUUUUUUUUUUUUUUUUUUUGGUUUUUCGAGACAGGGUUUCUCUGUGUAGCUUUGGAGCCUAUCCUGGCACUUGCUCUGUAGACCAGGCUGGCCUCGAACUCACAGAGAUCCACCUGCCUCUGCCUCCCGAGUGCUGGGAUUAAAGGUGUGCGCCACCAACCCCGGCCCUAUAUAGUACUUGUUAACCCUAUCUUUUUUAUUUUUGAGAGAGAGAGUUGGAUUCGCUGGAGCUGGAGUUCCAGGUAUUUGCAAGUGGGAUUAGUUGGGUGCUGGAAUCAGAACUCUUCCUCUGGAAGAACAGCAAAUGCUCUUAACUGUGAGCCAUCUCUCCAGUAUCCAUCAGAUGUGCCUUUUUAAAGUUAGGGUAGUGUCAGACUGUAGAAUUCUCUGUCUAGUUUUUAAGAAUGGAUAUUUGACUGGGUGUAGUGGCACAUGCCUUUGAUCCCUGUACUCAGGAGAUAGAGGCAGGGGGAACUCUGAAUUCAAGGCCAGACUGGACUAUAUAGAGAAACCCUGUUGGAGAGAUGUGGUAGGGGGGAACCAGACACACAAAAUUAAAUAAACAUUUUAAAAAAUCAUACAAUUAAAUAAUACUAAAUAAACAUUUAAAAGAAUUUAGACACUAUAAUAUGGUGGGUUGUGACACAUGCCUUUAAUCCUAGCAGUUAGGAGUCAGAGGCAGGCAAAUGUCUACAAAGUGUCAGGACAGCCAGGGCUAUACAGGGAAACACUGUCUCAAAAAGAAAAAAUACAAUGGUUUUGAUAAAGGUUUGCCAAAGGUGUUAUGAUCCACAUGUUGCUGCUGCUUUAGAAUUUCAAAGCCCUAGGGCAUUGGUGGUGCACACCUUUAAUCCCAGCACUUAGGAGGCAGAG